AAAAUUUUUCAACGACUAGAGCAGAGUCUGAAGUUUCUAAUGUUGAUAAUCCACCAACCAUCGAUGUGAAUUCGAAUCAUUUUAUUAAAAAAACAUUGGAGCAAUACCAGAUGGUCUCCUUAUACUACAACACUUCAAGUCAUAUGGGUCAUUAAAUUCAAAAAUGAGAAACCGACUUUGUGGAAUAUUAAUAAAAGAUGAACUUUUUAAAACUAAAGGUGCAAAUAAAAUUGGGAAAACACAAUUUUCGAAAAUUGCAAAUGGUAUAGAAGAAUUCUUUCCUUCAGAAAAUAAAUAUGUUUAUUUCAUCCCUUAUUAUAAAGAAGGUAAUAAAGUGAGUCCUAAUUGAGG